AAGUCGUAACAAGGUUUCCGUAGGUGAACCUGCGGAAGGAUCAUUAAUACGUUCUAAACAAACGUUUUAAACUCCAAAAUUUUUAUAGUGGAAAUCUAACUUCCGGAUGCAUUUGUAGGAGUGGAGAUCAGACCUCAAAAAGUCUGGUUCUCCUCUCUUUGAAAGGAGACUUCAUGCACUUUAUUGUGUGUGACACUUCAGAGUAGAGCAGUGAGGUGAAAACUUCGGUUUUGGUUUCUGAAAUACAUCUGUAUCCGGUUAUUCUCUGUUCUACAACCCUUUUAUUAAACAAUAAACCCCAUGUACAACAACUUGAACUAAACAAAUUUUGUUUUCUCUCUUUGAGGAAAUGAAGUAAAUCUGAACUUAAGAACAACUCUUAACAACGGAUAUCUUGGUUCUC
rnacentral:misc_RNA from 1 species